AUUUUUUAAAAAAACAAUAGAAUUUUACCAUAUGAUUCUCCAGUUCUAUUUCUGGGAGAUAAAUUACCCAAUAGAAGUAAAAAGAGGGACUUGAAGAGAUACUUGAAGAGAACAUAGAUACUCUAUGUUCAUCAUAGCAACGUAUUCGUAAUUGCGGAAAAGUGGGAGCAAUUCAAGUGUCCAUCAACGGAGGAAGGGAUCAACCAAAUGCUUAACAGAUACAGAUUUUUCAUUUUGUAAGAUGAAAGAGUUCUGUGGACAGAUGCUGGCAACAAUAGUAACAUAUGAAUGUACUCAAUGCCACCGAACUGCACACUUUAAAAUGGUUAGCAUGGUGUAUUUUGAAGGUAUUGCUGAUUGACGGUGGUAAGUGAAGGGCAGAAGGAUUAGGGAUGACUCCAGUGUUUUGGCCCUGAGGAGUCAGCAGGAUGGCAAUGUCAUUUCCUGAGAUGGGGAAGACACCUAUAGUAGGCACUGUCAGGGCCCCUGCUUAGAGUCCCUGGGAUCCCUUUUAUGGUUUCUGAGCUCUCGCUCUUGGCUUGUGUGCUGAUGUUCAUACAGCCUGCCCUGUGACUCUUCUGUGGCCUGGUCUCUGGUUACUAGAGUCCCUUUGCCCUUGCAAAGAAGUACCCAAAAGUUUAAUUCUUCAGUCCAUAGCCAGUGGCGCAGGAGUGUGAGAGCCCAGCUUUCUCCCCUCCAGGUGAACAACUUGGAAAUGUAACUUGCUGUGCUAUGAGCUCAGGCUGAAGCUACCCAAUGUGGGACCGGGUCUGCAGUCAUACCUUGUGUGAUC
rnacentral:lncRNA from 1 species